GCGGGGGAUAACAUUCGGAAACGGGUGCUAAUACCGCAUAAUAUCUUCUUCCGCAUGGAAGAAGAUUGAAAGACGGCUCUGCUGUCACUUAUAGAUGACCUUGCGGUGCAUUAGUUAGUUGGUGGGGUAACGGCCUACCAAGACGAUGAUGCAUAGCCGACCUGAGAGGGUGAUCGGCCACAUUGGGACUGAGACACGGCCCAAACUCCUACGGGAGGCAGCAGUAGGGAAUCUUCCGCAAUGGGCGAAAGCCUGACGGAGCAAUGCCGCGUGAGUGAAGAAGGCCUUCGGGUCGUAAAACUCUGUUAUAAGAGAAGAACAAAUUGUAGAGUAACUGCUACAGUCUUGACGGUAUCUUAUCAGAAAGCCACGGCUAACUACGUGCCAGCAGCCGCGGUAAUACGUAGGUGGCAAGCGUUGUCCGGAUUUAUUGGGCGUAAAGGGAGCGCAGGUGGUUUCUUAAGUCUGAUGUGAAAGCCCACGGCUUAACCGUGGAGGGUCAUUGGAAACUGGGAAACUUGAGUACAGAAGAGGAAUGUGGAACUCCAUGUGUAGCGGUGGAAUGCGUAGAUAUAUGGAAGAACACCAGUGGCGAAGGCGACAUUCUGGUCUGUUACUGACACUGAGGCUCGAAAGCGUGGGGAGCAAACAGGAUUAGAUACCCUGGUAGUCCACGCCGUAAACGAUGAGUGCUAGGUGUUGGAGGGUUUCCGCCCUUCAGUGCCGCAGUUAACGCAUUAAGCACUCCGCCUGGGGAGUACGACCGCAAGGUUGAAACUCAAAGGAAUUGACGGGGACCCGCACAAGCGGUGGAGCAUGUGG
rnacentral:rRNA from 1 species